rnacentral:rRNA from 1 species
UAGUCCUAGCAGUAAACGGUGCACGUUUGGUGUGGGGGAUUCGACCCCCUCCGUGCCGGAGCUAACGCGUUAAACGUGCCGCCUGGGGAGUACGGCCGCAAGGCUAAAACUCAAAGAAAUUGACGGGGACCCGCACAAGCGGUGGAGUAUGUGGCUUAAUUCGAUGCAACGCGAAGAACCUUACCUGGGCUUGACAUGCAUCCCUAAACCGGUGAAAGCCGGGGAGCUCUUUGAGCAGUUUGCACAGGUGCUGCAUGGCUGUCGUCAGCUCGUGUCGUGAGAUGUUGGGUGAAGUCCCGCAACGAGCGCAACCCUUGUCUUUAGUUGCCAUCAUUCAGUUGGGCACUCUAAAGAGACUGCCGGUGACAAACCGGAGGAAGGUAAGGAUGACGUCAAGUCAGCAUGCCCCUUACGCCCUGGGCUACACACGUGCUACAAUGGUCGUGACAAAGGGUCGCUAAUCUGCAAAGACAUGCUAAUCUCAUAAACACGGCCUCAGUUCGGAUUGC